GGCAACCCUGAUCCAGCCAUGCCGCGUGUGUGAAGAAGGCUUUAGGGUUGUAAAGCACUUUCAGUAGGGAGGAAGGCCCAGUAGUUAAUACUUGCAGGGAUUGACGUUACCUACAGAAGCGGCACCGGCUAACUCCGUGCCAGCAGCCGCGGUAAUACGGAGGGUGCAAGCGUUAAUCGGAAUUACUGGGCGUAAAGCGCGCGUAGGCGGUUUGUUAAGUGAGAUGUGAAAGCCCAGGGCUCAACCUUGGAACUGCAUCUCAUACUGGCAGGCUAGAGUACGGUAGAGGGGGGUAGAAUUCCA
rnacentral:rRNA from 1 species